rnacentral:RNase_P_RNA from 1 species
GGAGGUGGAUGGAGGAUCGCCGGCGAACAAACACCGUUCGCGGGAGGAAAGUCCGGGCUCCAAUGGGCAGGGAGGUCGCUAACGGCGACCCGGGGUAACCCGAGGGAAAGCGCCGCAGAAACGACACCGCCGAUGGCCUGCGAUCCCCCGGCUGCGAGAGGCAGCCGGGGAGGAGGCACAGGCAAGGGUGAAAACGUGGGGUAAGAGCCCACGCGCGACAGCCGGGUGACCGGCGGCGGGGCAAGCCCCUCCCGGAGCAAGCUCGAAUAGAGGCGCUGUCGAGGGCGGUCCGCCCGAGCAGCCGCAGCCGCGGCUCCAGCACCCGGGUCAGAGCGCUCGAGCGGCCCAGCAAUGGGCCGCCUAGAUGAAUGAUCCUCGCCGGCGCGGGGGCAACCGCGCGCCGGAACAGGACCCGGCUUACAGUCCACUUCGGGAG